GUUUUCUUUCAACUGGGUGAACAACAGCAACCGAAAAUCCCAAAUUAAAGAUCGGGUUGCCUUUCUGAGCAUCAGAAAUACUGCUAAAAUUUUAGCAGGCCUCUAACUUCCCUUCUCCCCACACGUACACACACUCACACUUUAAAUCAUUUGUUGUAGAAAUGUGUGCAAAAUAAUAGCUUGCUGGCUGCCGCAUUAGUAAUAUUCCUUUCUCUCUUUAAGUGUUCCAAGUAUCAUUUAGGCUUCCUGAGUUUCAAGCCAUUUGUUCCUUUAGAGCACUUAGAGCUCAAUAAAGCACCUUUAUCGUAAGCCAGCAUGAAACCGCUCCCUUCUGGGCUGGCGGUUUUUCAAAAACCAUACGUAUCUUCAUGUGAGAGCCACUGAACUACCGUGCACUUCGACAUUCCUGCUGGAAAACAAGCCUUGAAUUAAUGGCAAUGGAAUUCACCUGACAAGAAGAAAAGACUGACUUCAAAGAAAUAUUGGACGCAAACUUGGCUGAACAUUAAAGAGCUGCAAGGCAAAAGAAAACCCGGGAAAUGUUUUUACUUCGGUUGCCAGUGGUCUGUGAAUAGCAUCGCCAGGCACAGCAAUUUUUCACGAAUUAAAGGAUUCUCUAUUUUUUAUUUUAUUUCGGGCUUUGAGUGUCUUUCUGUUAUUUUGCACACCUUGUGCAUGAUCUGAAUUUAUUUUUUUUUAAAGGAACUCUACAAUUAGUGCCUACCUGCUGCUGUCAGUUAGCAGGUGAAUAGAACAUGGCUGCUUGUCAGAGUUGGCCAAAGAGGCUGGACACUAUAAACAAAUGCCUAUAUCAAAACACAGAGAUACAGCUCUCAGAUACUACUGUGGAAACACAAAGAACUUAACGUGGUAAAAUUUGCAGCCAAAGCCCUAUGAAAUGUGAGGUUCUGGCAGAGAGGGACACAGUCAUCU
rnacentral:lncRNA from 1 species